rnacentral:lncRNA from 1 species
AAGAAAGAAACCUGUGGAUUGCGCUAUUGUUACCUCUAUGGACAAAAACCAGAGACAUGUAUGUAUGUGCACCAUGUGUACUCUGGUGUUGGCUAAGGUGUUAGAAGAAGACAUCCCAUCCACCCGGAUCUGGAGUUCCUGACAGUGGUUAGACAUCAGUUCCGUUGAAGACAGUGCUACCCAAGUGAGCAUUCCAAAUCAUGUUUAAAGAGAGGUAAGAGAUGUGCUGCAGAGUCCAAAGAACAAGAUAGCUGUGGCUCAGAUGGCUUUACAUCUUUCAAGAACCAAGACCCCUGUCUGCUACAGCUCUGCUGUGCAAGCCCUGAGCACAACUGCAGCUUUCUCUGACACACCAUCCCACAGGGACUUUCUCACCUAUACAGUGUUCUCAUGUCAAAUAAGAUCAUUGUACAAGGUCUUUGUUACAUUGAAUCCUGAAUUUAUUCAGUUAUGUUAAGUGCAAUAAAAUACCUGGG